GAGAACCAAGAGAUCCGUUGUUGAAAGUUUUAUUUUUCUUAGAUUUCUGGUGACAUGGUAUUUCUGGUUUAGGUGUUGUGUGCGCUCACGCAGUGUGGAAAGUUUAAAUCACAGUAAUGAUCCUU
rnacentral:misc_RNA from 1 species